rnacentral:rRNA from 1 species
UAGGAAUACCCGCUGAACUUAAGCAUAUCAAUAAGCGGAGGAAAAGAAACCAACAGGGAUUGCCCUAGUAACGGCGAGUGAAGCGGCAACAGCUCAAAUUUGAAAUCUGGCCCUAGCGGUCCGAGUUGUAAUUUGUAGAGGAUGCUUUUGGUUAGGUGCCUUCUGAGUUCCCUGGAACGGGACGCCAGAGAGGGUGAGAGCCCCGUACGGUUGGACACCGAGCCUCUAUAUAGCUCCUUCGACGAGUCGAGUAGUUUGGGAAUGCUGCUCUAAAUGGGAGGUAAAUUUCUUCUAAAGCUAAAUACCGGCCAGAGACCGAUAGCGCACAAGUAGAGUGAUCGAAAGAUGAAAAGUACUUUGAAAAGAGGGUUAAAUAGCACGUGAAAUUGUUGAAAGGGAAGCGUUUGCGACCAGACUUUUUCCAGGCGGAUCAUCCGGUGUUCUCACCGGUGCACUUCGCCUGGUUUAGGCCAGCAUCGGUUCUCUUAGGGGGAUAAAGGCCUGGGGAACGUAGCUCCUUCGGGAGUGUUAUAGCCCCUAGCGUAAUACCCUUCGGGGGACCGAGGAACGCGC